GACGAACGCUGGCGGCGUGCUUAACGCAUGCAAGUCGAACGGAAAGGCCCUGCUUUUGUGGGGUGCUCGAGUGGCGAACGGGUGAGUAACACGUGAGUAACCUGCCCUUGACUUUGGGAUAACUUCAGGAAACUGGGGCUAAUACCGGAUAGGAGCUCCUGCUGCAUGGUGGGGGUUGGAAAGUUUCGGCGGUUGGGGAUGGACUCGCGGCUUAUCAGCUUGUUGGUGGGGUAGUGGCUUACCAAGGCUUUGACGGGUAGCCGGCCUGAGAGGGUGACCGGCCACAUUGGGACUGAGAUACGGCCAGACUCCUACGGGAGGCAGCAGUGGGGAAUAUUGCACAAUGGGCGGAAGCCUGAUGCAGCAACGCCGCGUGCGGGAUGACGGCCUUCGGGUUGUAAACCGCUUUCGCCUGUGACGAAGCGUGAGUGACGGUAAUGGGUAAAGAAGCACCGGCUAACUACGUG
rnacentral:rRNA from 1 species